GCCAGAUUGGGAAUUUAGCCCAUCCAGGGACUGACCAGGACCAACCCUGCUUAGCUUCAGAAGCAAGCCAGCAGUGGUAUGCAGAGUGGUAUGCUGUUCUGGCUGCAAGUCAUCUGGUGACUGAGGUGGUGUGUUGCCUGAUAGUCUUAAGCUAUAACUCUCUUAGGAACCAUAAGGAGAGAGUGGAGAAACAAAAAAGCGCUCCAGCUGACAUGGAACAAGACAGCAGAUUCAGCUAGAAUGACAUUUUAUUGUGUGAUGAGAGAUGGAAAUAAAAUUGUGUAUGAUGUGAUUAUAGAACAGAGGCCAUAAGUCUCUGAGUUUGUAAACCUCACGGUGAAUGUUUGUUAUCAUUGUUAGUUCCAUUUGUUAGUUUUUAAAUUCAUGUUUUAUGAUCGUUCGUCC
ensembl:lncRNA